UGGGGAAUAUUGGACAAUGGGCGCAAGCCUGAUCCAGCAAUGCCGCGUGUGUGAAGAAGGCCUUCGGGUUGUAAAGCACUUUUAUCAGGAGCGAAACGCUGUCGGCUAAUACCCGGCGGAACUGACGGUACCUGAGGAAUAAGCACCGGCUAACUUCGUGCCAGCAGCCGCGGUAAUACGAAGGGUGCAAGCGUUAAUCGGAAUUACUGGGCGUAAAGCGUGCGUAGGCGGUUUCUUAAGUCUGCUGUGAAAUCCCCGGGCUCAACCUGGGAAUGGCAGUGGAUACUGGGAGGCUAGAGUGUGUCAGAGGGUGGUGGAAUUCCCGGUGUAGCGGUGAAGUGCGCAGAGAUCGGGAGGAACAUCAGUGGCGAAGGCGGCCACCUGGGACAACACUGACGCUGAGGCACGAAAGCGUGGGGAGCAAACAGGAUUAAAUGACCCUGGUAGUCCACGCCCUAAACGAUGCGAACUGGAUGUUGGUCUCAACUCGGAGAUCAGUGUCGAAGCUAACGCGUUAAGUUCGCCGCCUGGGGAGUACGGUCGCAAGACUGAAACUCAAAGGAAUUGACGGGGUCAU
rnacentral:rRNA from 1 species